AGUAACAUCCGGAAACGGGUGGCUAAUACCGCAUAGUUUCUUGAUCGCAUGAUCGGAAAGGAAAGACGGCCUUUGUGCUGUCGCUUAUGGAUGGACCCGCGGCGUAUUAGUUAGUUGGUGAGGUAACGGCUCACCAAGACGAUGAUACGUAGCCGACCUGAGAGGGUGAUCGGCCACAUUGGGACUGAGACACGGCCCAAACUCCUACGGGAGGCAGCAGUAGGGAAUCUUCCGCAAUGGACGAAAGUCUGACGGAGCAACGCCGCGUGAGUGAAGAAAAGGGUUUUCGGAUCGUAAAACUCUGUUGUCAGAGAAGAACAAGUUGGAGAGUAACUGCUCCAGCCUUGACGGUAUCUGACCAGAAAGCCACGGCUAACUACGUGCCAGCCGCAGC
rnacentral:rRNA from 1 species